rnacentral:rRNA from 1 species
UGGGGAAUAUUGCACAAUGGGCGCAAGCCUGAUGCAGCCAUGCCGCGUGUAUGAAGAAGGCCUUCGGUUUGUAAAGUACUUUCAGCGGGGAGGAAGGGAGUAAAGUUAAUACCUUUGCUCAUUGACGUUACCCGCAGUAGAAGCACCGGCUAACUCCGUGCCAGCAGCCGCUGUAAUACGGAGGGUGCAAGCGUUAAUCGGAAUUACUGGGCGUAAAGCGCACGCAGGCGGUUUGUUAAGUCAGAUGUGAAAUCCCAGGGCUCAACCUGGGAACUGCAUCUGAUACUGGCAAGCUUGAGUCUCGUAGAGGGGGGUAGAAUUCCAGGUGUAGAGGUGAAAUGCGUAGAGAGCUGGAGGAAUACCGGUGGCGAAGGCGGCCCCCUGGACGAAGACUGACGCUCAGGUGCGAAAGCGUGGGGAGCAAACAGG